GACGAACGCUGGCGGCGUGCCUAAUACAUGCAAGUUGAGCGCUGAAGGUUGGUACUUGUACCAACUGGAUGAGCAGCGAACGGGUGAGUAACGCGUGGGGAAUCUGCCUUUGAGCGGGGGACAACAUUUGGAAACGAAUGCUAAUACCGCAUAAAAACUUUAAACACAAGUUUUAAGUUUGAAAGAUGCAAUUGCAUCACUCAAAGAUGAUCCCGCGUUGUAUUAGCUAGUUGGUGAGGUAAAGGCUCACCAAGGCGAUGAUACGUAGCCGACCUGAGAGGGGGGACGGCCACAAUGGGACUGAGACAACGCCCAAACUCCUACGGGAGGCAGCAGGAGGGAAUCUUCGGCAAGGGACGAAAGGCUGACCGAGGAACGCCGCGUGAGGGAAGAAGGUUGUCGGAUCGGAAAACUCUGUUGGUAGGGAAGAACGUUGGGGGGAAUGGAAAGCGCAUCAAGUGACGGUAACUACCCAGAAAGGGACGGCUAACUACGUG
rnacentral:rRNA from 1 species